rnacentral:rRNA from 1 species
UACAGAGGUGGGCAAGCGUUUGUUUGGAAUUACUGGGCGUAAAGGGCGCGUAGGCGGUCUUGUAAGUCUCGUGUGAAAUCCCUCGGCUUAACUGAGGAACUGCACGGGAUACUGCAUGACUUGAGAUCGGGAGAGGGAAGCGGAAUUCCGGGUGUGAGCGGUGAAAUGCGUAGAUAUCCGGAGGAACACCGGUGGCGAAGGCGGCUUCCUGGACCGACACUGACGCUGAGCGCGAAAGCUAGGGGAGCAAACGGG